rnacentral:rRNA from 1 species
UACGGAGGAUGCGAGCGUUAUCCGGAUUUAUUGGGUUUAAAGGGUGCGUAGGCGGCUUUUUAAGUCAGCGGUGAAAUUUUGCAGCUUAACUGUAACAGUGCCGUUGAUACUGGGGAGCUAGGAUUUGGUUGCUGUGGGUGGAAUGUGUAAUGUAGCGGUGAAAUGCUUAGAUAUUACACAGAACACCGAUUGCGAAGGAAGCUUGCUGGGUCAUUACUGACGCUGAUGCACGAAAGCGUGGGGAUCAAACAGGAUUAGAUACCCCCGUA